AAUACACAUUUAGACCUAGAUCUAUAUAAUAAAGGUAAUGGCUAAUGCUGAAGGAGACGAAAAGUACACAAAAAGAACGCCUAAAGAGCUAAAGAGAGGACCAUCAGCCACAAUAACACAGAGAAAUUCAUCGGCGGGCCUCUUACCAUUGCUCCCCGUUUCUCAUCUCCUUCUUCCUCGAAAAACCCAAAACCAAAUAAAAAACCUAGUAGAAGUUUUCCAAAAAAAAAACGUGAAAAAGGGGCCUUUCAUUCAUUGUCCAAUUAUUUCGAUUUAGCUCCUUUAGACAUGAAUUCCAUGUGGAUUCUGAGAUCUUGUAGCCUGAUUCGGCUGGCAUUUUAAUUUUCCGGUGAGGUUUUCCAUCGAGGUCGUCGUAUGUGGUCCGCGAGAUCCAAACAAUUUGUUGCUGGUUCAAAGCUGUUGAGCUCCGUUUUCAAGUCUUUUGAAGCUCUAUUUGGACGAAUUCUUGUUGGUUUCUCCACUGUCCAGCUUCUUCGGCUAAUUUUGAGUUGUGUUUUGUUGCUAGGUAUGCCUCGCUCAUUUGUUAUUAGUUGUUGGACUUAUAAAUGGCAAUGUUGAAUUGUUCAUGUUAUGGCCAUCUUUAAUCUCAUGAGUUUAAUUAUGUUCAAUCAGCAAAAAUUGGCUUUUGUUUUUCUGUUUGCCUAUAAUUGAUCUUGCUGAUAACUGUUAUGUUUGAGCUAAAAUUUAGGUUGAAACUGUUUGUUCAUUUGAAGAUUUCAUAUGCUGGUCUACGACUUAAUUAGCUACUAAUUCGCCGUGUUAAUUGACGUAUUAAAUUGAAGUGUUGCCAUCUGAUAUGGAUUCCUGUUAAAUGAUAUACUAAUUCUAAAUUGAACUUACGGUUUAAACUUCCUAUGUGUUGAGAUAAUCAAUUUUCAUGUUAUAUGCUGUAUAAGUUUACUUGCAUAUUCCAAGUCUUACCUAGUGUGGGCCGUUAGAUGAAUCUUCUGCUUUUGGGCCUAGUAUAUGGGUUUUGAAGAAUUGAAUAAAGUUGGCUCAUUUUCUUAUAUUCGAAUCCUUCUAGCUUAAUUUUACACUCUAUCCACAAUAAAUUUCCAUAAUUCCCAUGCCAUUGCAUCAAUUUCAAACUUAGGAAUUGAACAAAUGAAAACUAACGAGUUUCGUAGUUUGUUUCAGGCGCGUUGAUUAUAUAAUUAUCACGGUUAUUACUAAAAUCCGGGGUACAUUUCAUAUGGUCCGAUUUUAAUUUUCUAACAAGGUUAAAUAGAACGUAUCGUGAAUCACGGGUACAUUUCAUGUAGCAUGACUUGCGAUGUGUUUUAAAUAACCUUGAAAUAAUUCCUUAAAUAAAUGAAAGCGGUUUUAAAGUUAAAAAUGCACAUAGGUUUAAAAGUGUUUUAAAAUCAGAUAAUAGGCCAAAUAUAACAGUUGAGCGACCGUGCUAGAACCAUGGAACUCAAAAAUGCCUAACACCUUCUCCCGAGUUAACAGAAUUCCUUACCUGGAUUUCUGUGUUCGCAGACUGUAAUACAGAGUCAAUCUUUUCCUCGAUUCGGGAUUUGAACCGGUGACUUGGGACUCCAUAAAAUUAUCCCAAGUGGCAACUCUGAAUUUUUAAUAAAAUGAUCCCGUUUCGAUUGUCACUUUAAGUUGGAAAAAACUCUCUUGUCCUACCCUUCCGGGUGUAGGAAAAAGGAGGUGUGACACUCACCAGAGCAUCAAGGCUUCUCCUCCGCACGUGCCUAAACUAUCUAAGCACGCUUCCCGCAUCUUGUCAUCCACAGGGGCCACGCCUAUCUUCUCCCAAAUAUCUUCAUUCUUAAUCUUAUCAAUCCUAGUGUGCCCGCACAUCCACCUCAACAUCAUCUUCUCUGCUACCUUGAUCUUCUGGAUAUGAGUGUUCUUAACCGGUCAAUUCUCUUCCCCAUACAACAUGGCCGGUCUAACCAUCGCUCUAUAAAACUUACCUUUGAGUAUCAGUGACACUUUCUUGUCACACAAGACUCCAGAUGCUAGCCUCCAUUUCAUCCACCCCACCCCUAUACGGUGAGUGAUGUCCUCACCAAUCUCUCCGCCCCCUUGUAUAACUGACCCAAGGUACUAGAAACUACCUCUCUUGAGGAUGACCUUUGAUCCAAGCCUCACGACCAUGCCUAUUUCCCUCGACUCGAUGCUGAACUUGCACUCUAGGUACUUUGUCUUAGUCCAGUUCAGCUUGAAACCCUUAGACUCGAGAGCUCAUCUCCAAACCCCCAACCUCUCAUUAACACCAUCCCGCGUCUCAUCAGUCAGAACUAUGUCAUCAGCAAAUAACAUACAUCAUGGCACUUCCCCUUGAAUAUGGUGUGUCAGUGCAUCCAUCACCAAGGCAAAUAAGAAUGGGCUAAGUGCAGAUCCUUGGUGUAACCCCAUAAUUACCGGGAAAUGCUCUGAGUCGCCUCCCACAGUCCUAACCCUAGUCUUAGCUCUAUCAUACAUGUCCUUGAUCGCUCUAACGUAAGCUAUCGACACACCCUUUGCCUCCAGACAUCUCCAUAGCACCUCACUAGUGACAUUGUCAUAUGUUUUCUCCAAGUCAAUAAACACUAUGUGCAAAUCCUUCUUCCGAUCCCUGUACCAUUCCACCAACCUCCUAAUAAGGUGGAUAGCUUCCGUAGUAGAGCGACCCGGCAUGAACCAAAACUGGUUGUCGGAUAUAGACACUGUCUUCCUCACCCUCACUACCCUCUCCUAAACUUUCAUGGUAUGACUUAGUAACUUGAUACUCCUAUAGUUGUUACAAUACUGAAUAUCACCUUUGUUCUUGUACAACGGUACCACUGUACUCCACCUCCACUCAUCCGGCAUCCUCUUCGUCUUGAAAAUAAUAUUAAAUAGCCCAGUCAGCCACUCCAAGCCUGCUCUACCCACCUUUCAAAACUCAACCGGAAUUUUGUUUGGCCUGAUCGCUCUGCCCCUACUCAUCUAACACAAAGCCCCCACAACCUUCUCUACCUUAAUGCGCCUACAAUACCUAAAGUCUUGGAGACUCUCUGAAUGCCCCUGAUCCCCUAGCACUAUAUCUCGGUCCCCAUCUUCACUCAGAAGACCAUGAAAGUACGUAUGUCAUCUCUGCUUAAUUUGGGACUCCCCCAUCAAUACUCUAUCGUCCUCGUCUUUGAUGCACCUCACUUGGUCCAAAUCCCUCGCCUUCCUCUCCCUCGCCUUAGCCAGCCGAAACAACCUCUUAUCCCCACCCUUUUCCUCCAAUUCCCCGUACAGACGGUCAAACGCUGCAUUCUUAGCCUCUCUGAACACCAGCUUUGCCUCCUUCAUCGCUACCUUGUACCUCUCUCUAUUCGCUCUCCUCUCUUCCUCGCUUGUGCUCCCUGCCAACUUCAUAUAUGCUACCUUCUCCAUCUCCACUUCGCCUUGGACUACGUUAUUCCACCACCAGUCUCCUUGGUGCCUGCUAGAGUAACCCUUCAAUAUCCCUAACACCUCUCUCGCUGCCUCCCUAAAAUAGUUCGCCACCGUUAGCCACAUAACACUCGCGUCCCCACUACACCUCCAGGCUCCCAUAGCCGAUAACCUUCCUUCCAACUCCAGGGCUUUAUCCUUAGUUAAGGCUACCCACCUAAUCCUCAGUUGACCAUGAGCAUACCUCUUCUUCCUCCUUAUCAUAAUACCGACGUCCAUUACUAAGAGCCUAUGCUGAGUCGUGAGGGUAUCACCCGGGAUAACCUUGCAAUCCUUGCACAACCCUCUGACACACCUUCUGAGGAGGAGGUAAUCAAGUUGAGUCUUCACCAUCGAACUUUGGAAAGUUACCAGAUGCUCCUCCCUCUUCGAAAAACUCGAGUUCGCAAUCACCAACUCGAAAGCCUUAGCGAAAUCUAACAGCAAAGAACCUCCUCCAUUCAUAUCCCCCAAAGCCGAAGCCACCAUGCACAUCGCCAUAGCCACCAGCAGCUAACCCAAUAUGGCCAUUGAAAUUCCCUCCUAUAAAUAACCUCUCAGUAGGUGGAAUACUACGCACAAUCUCGUCCAAACCCUCCUAGAAGCGCAUUUUAACCUCCUCAUCCAAGCCUGCUUACAGCGCGUAAGCGCUAACGACAUUGAGGGUGCACUCACCAAUCACCAACUUAAUAAACAUUAGUCUAUCAUUCACCCGCUUGCCUAACCUCAACCAUAGACUCUCUAAGAUUCCUAUUCACCAAGAUACCCACUCUAUUCUUACCCUUCACGACUCUAGACUACCUCGACUUAUACCUGUCCGCAUUCCUCGCUUUGAACCCUACCCACCUAAAGCCCGUAUGGAUGGGCUUAUAUUAAGUGAUUUUUAAGCCAUACGUUAAGAAUUCUAGCUUUUGGCUUGUUUUUGCCAUUUUAGCUUAAAAACAAGUGCUUAAAAACACUUUUUUAAUCUAUCCAAACACUACAAAAUAGCUUAAAAGUUAUUUUAGCUUAAAAGCACUUAAAAUAAGUCAAUCCAAACGCGCUCCUAGUCUCUUGGACACAAGCUAUAUUGACCUUCCUCUUCUGGAGAAUCUUCACCAACUCAAUAGACUUACCCAUCAGCGUGCCUAUGUUACACGACCCAAUCCUCAACCUACAAGCUCCAUUUUCCCCUACCCUCAUUGUCUCCCGUCCCACCCUCUGACCCCUUCCCCACCCCUACACAUCUGAGGACAUGACCUUACUCUACCACCCCAGACCACAGUCACUAUCCCAUGACAGACUACAGAAAAUCACUAACAUAGAAUAAGACCCAACUAGAAGAUAACAAGUAGCAACUACAAGGUUGCUGAUAUAAUCUGGUUUAACAGCUUCGUGGAUGUUUACCCUUAAAAUUGGAUAACAAUUAAACUUAUAAGUGGUUUUAAGGAUAUAUGAUUUCACUUGGCACAAACUGAUAAAUAUGAAAAUUAAUGCUAGAAAUUGACAGUAAUAACGCAAACCAAUGUGAUGAACAACUAUGGCCCUCAAGCUAGAUCGCCCUCGAACAACAUAAUAUGCUAAAAAGGAAUGAACUGAACAGUAGAGCUUUAAGAGAGCUUAAGAGAAAAAAUGUAGUGUAUUUCUUAAUUAUGCGUGAGUAUGGUCAUUAUAAAAUGAUUAGGACCCCCUUUAUAUAGUAGAGGAAUCCUAUUUAUGGAAUUACAAGAAAUAAAUUGAGUCUUCAAUAUUUCCCUCGGUUUAUCAUGAUAUAAGCAUCGUGACGUAAGUGACAAAUAGGUACUGAAAUGUCCCGUUGGUUCAAAUGCCGAGGCAUUAAAUGCCAGUCAGUUGUUCGGCCAUUAUCAGUUCUAAACCGUCGUCUUCAAUAUACAAAUAUAUCUUCCUCCUUUUGCCUAAACUUUUACUUUCAAUCUCUUUCAUUCUAAUCUUCAUAGUUCCUUACAUUCUUCAGAUCUUUGAAUUUUUUUGCUUGUUCCUUCCAAAACACAGAAAGUUUCGAUCUCUAUUCUUGUUCGCUUAUAAUGGCCAAAACAUCUAAAACCAUUCUACGAAAGGAGACUGCUGCAUCGUCACGGUCGGCCGGCGAGGAACCGGCGGCGUAGCCAUGCCCUGAAGAGUUUUUUUUGGGAGGGUGUGUUCUCGACUCUGAUUUUAAGGUUGAAAAGACCUCCUCGGUACCGGGACGAUGCGAGCCAGUAUCAAGAUAUAUAUGCUCGAUCAUCGAAAAACUUCUUUCCUAAGUUAAAAAAGAUUGCAACUGGGUAACAAACACGUGGUGGUGCCUACUCCAGAAGAUGCAAUCACCACUCAUGUAGAAUGGUUCUUAAGUGUUUACACUUACCUUUUCAUGUUGGGUCCCCUAGAUCCGAUCAUCAUAGACUUCUGUAAGAAGUACGGGGUGACCCUUGGUCAGAUUCAUCCCUCCUUUUGGAGGAUAGUGAUAUUACUUCGUUUCUUCUCAAGCAAAGUCGAUGGGCUUCCCUUCACCCUCGACCACCUCAUACGCCUAUGUAGCCCCUGAAUCUAUCAAGAGGGACUAAUAAAGCUUCAACGUCGAGCCACCCAGGCACCUUUUUCGAGCAUAGAUAAGGACAAAGAUCGGGGUUGGAUGGGCUAAUUCGUUCAAGUAAAGACCUCGGACUUGAUCCCGGCUGAAAGCAUGCUAUUUUCUGAGAAAUGGAAUAUGAAACAUAAGUAUGAUCCGCUCCUAAUUCCUGUUUAUGGUUUCUAUUCUUAUAAACUUCCCCAUCGGUGUUUUGCUGGAUGCAGCUGUUUCUUGGAUGCCGGGUGGGGUUCCCCAACUCGAGGAUUGGGUCAGGAGCCUGAUAUUGUAAUCGACCCAUGCUGAACGUGCAUGGCAUGAUUUGGCAAAGGGUCGAUGGAAGGAUAGUACCCAUGGUAAGUUUUUCUUCCUGACUUAGUGAUUUGACCACUAUUAGAGCAUUUUUCCAAACUUAUUUAUUUCUCUUCCUUUGUAGGUCUUGGGAACGAGGUGAUGAUGAGGCCUCCGUCCGGUGAUGAAGAAAUUCCUCCCCUAUCAUCUGCUUCGAAGCUGGUUAGGGAGAAGAAGAGGAAAAGGACCUUGACUUCUGUGAACUCUGAGGGACAGAAGCCCAAAAAGAAAACAACCCGAAAACCCAAGGGAGGCGUCAUCAUAAGGGACUCAAUCCAUCGACUAUUGAAGGAGCCCGAAGAGGACGGAGAAGAAUAGAAUGAAGAUGAUUUCGGGCCGGUGUCCUAUGCUCGAGCUAGCACAGAGGUUCGAAGAACCUUGGAACCGAUGGGAGUCGAUAUUGCUCCGCCUAGGCUUAAUGAGGUCGAGGAGGAGACUUGGGCCCAAGUCCCCGAGCCAAGAGGGAAUGAAGAUGUUUUACAUCGGGGCAAAGAGAUCGUUGAAGAGGCGGUGGAGAUUGGUGCAGAAAUUGGGCUUGAGGCUCUGCAAGACGGAGGCAGUGCCUCAAAGGACCCACUUGGGGAAAUAGAUAUCGGGGGUUCCCCCUCAUUUUCUCCAAUUUAUGAUUCGAUGAUACGUGACGCUCAGGAUGUGGAGGCUUGUCACGAGGAAGGAGCCCACGUGGAGGAAGAUUUUUCUGUGGCUAUUUUGCUGAGGUAGAAGAUGUCACCGGUCUGGGUGACUUGGAUGUUCCAAAGAAGAGCUCGGGCGAGGCGUCCUCGAGUCUUAGACUGACCAAUCAGUUUUCGGACCCUAGUGCCGACCCUGGGCCCAAACGGUCGAUCGUUAUCUCGGCCCCAGAGGAUACUAAGGUCCUUUCUUCCCUAGUAGGGGUGGCUAGCUACCUCCGAUGUUUGGUGACCGAAGAGGAUCAGGCCGAGAUGAAUGCAGUGGAAAUACCCUACCUGUUUAAUGAAGCCUAACAGGCUCUAAACCGGGUAAUCCCAUAUUCCAAUGUUAAUUUCUUGAUUCAAUACUUCUCCAAUCUUACACAUCUUCUCUUUUGUGUUUGUAGGCUUCGGUGUUACAUCAUGAGGCCUUCCUCCGAUCCCGAGGGGAGAAAAUUUUGUACAAGGUCUAAAUCUGGGGCCUCACCGAGAAGGACACCUUCAAACUUCUUUGUGAGCAAAAAGAGAAAGAAGUUCAAGACCUUCGAGCUGAGUUGGAAAUGGCUCAAAAGAACACACCGACCUAACCGAGCAGGUAAAAAGAAUAUUUGAAGUUCAUGUUGGUGGAACGGGAAUGGUGACUGAUAAUCCAAAUCCGCAUGUUCAACAAAAACUUGAUGUGAUUAUCCAGCUCCAUGAAGAAAUAGGUGAAAUAAAAGCAGAGGCCGAAAGGAUGGAAAAAGAGCACGUCUGGCCUCAGAGAAGGAGACUGUCCGGGCUCAGCUGGCCUCGGCGGAAGUCCAACUCCGAAGUGUGAAAGAGAAGAGCUUGGCGCAAGCCAAGAAAAUCCAGGAGCUCCGGUCCGAGUUGGGUUCAGCAGGUUCUGUUCAGGUGAAACUGGUCAUUGAGCUUGAAGAGGCCAAAUCAGAGGCCAAGAAAACCAAAGCAGAUGUUGUUGCUGUGGUGGUUAUCUAUAUGUUAUUUUGAAGUAAAAGGCAAUAUCUGAAGGUGAACAUCCAUUAGCGACUAUUGAAAAGUUAGAACUAAUAUUAAAAAAAGAGAUCUACUUACUGACUUUGAUAAUUUUGGUUGAGUUGAUAGGAUUUUUGCAUUAUAACCGAAAAUUUUACUAAUUAAUUUCAUUAAGGACAAAUAAGAAAGUUUACUUUGUUGGAUUAGUUACCUCAUAUAGCAAAGGUUGAUAUCUUAUUUAUUUUAGAUAAAUAUCCUUUUAAAAAUUAUAUUCCAUAGCUACCUUUUGAUUUUUUAUAGCCAAAUAUAUAUUUAUGAUUACCUCCUAACUUUAAGCCAUAAAAUAAGCUUUGUAUUAUUUUUCUCUCUCAUAUCCCCUCAAAUUUCUCCUAACCCUACCCCAUAUCUAUUCUCCCUCUCUCUCUCUCUACUUCCCAUGUCUUCUCCUCCGCCUGACCUUUCUACUGUGAAAUAAUAUUUUGUCAGCUUUCUGCAAUUUUAUUCGGCUCGCCUGCAUUUUUGGCUUGAUUAUAUUCUCUGUCUCCAGUUUAAUAUUGCCCGUUACAACUUUAGGUUAAGAUAUUUGGCAAAAGGAGAAUCUAUUGAUUUGCAGAAUGUUAAGAUUGUCAUCUCUUUAACAUACUUGAAGGAUCAUUUAGAAUGUUGCUUUGACAAGCAUUUCAAACUUUCAGAAUUUCUGUUAAAGAAUGCAAAGGUUUUGGAGAAGUCUCCGUUAUUUCGCCGGUAAUUACAUGCUAAUCGUCAGCAACUGGAGGCAAAGGUGACGGCAAGCGAGGACUGGAUACUGAUGCUUCUUCAACGAGACGAUAUUAGGGUUGUUCUUGAACAAAGACGACGUUGGGGGCAGAGCAACUUGAAUUUUUUGUUAAUAUAUUUCAAUGUAUUUCAAUAUAUCUCGUUGUAUUUCAUUGUAUUCACUUUCUUUUUUUUUCAUUGUAUUUUAAUGUAUCUUGCUGUAUUUUAUGUAUUUCAUUGUAUUCACUGUUUUUUUCAUUGUAUUUCAAUGUAUCCCGAUGUAUUCUAUAUAUUUUAUUGUAUUCACUGUCUCGCUAUAUGCCAUGAAUGUAUUCAUAAAUAUUUUUUUAAUUAAUAUAAUUU
rnacentral:lncRNA from 1 species